GGCCCGAUGGCGGAGUGGUGACGUAACGGACUGCAAAUCCGUGAACCCGGGUUCGAUUCCCGGUCGGGCCUCCA
rnacentral:tRNA from 5 species